UUAUGGCCACAUCACGAUGAAAUGCAGGUUCCCCUUUGAUCACUGAAAUUAAGCAACGUUGAGCCUGGUCAGUACCUAGAUGGGUGACUGCUUGAUAAUAAAAGGUGCUGUUAG